UCUCUCUCUCUUUCCUGCUCCGCCGCGGUGAGACGUACUUGCUUCUCCUCACCUUCUACCGUGAUUCUGGACUAGACAGAAGACUACAGUUCAAUAAGAAGGAAACACAUUCAUUUUCAGUAUUGUUAAUAAAGAAGCUUACCUAAAAGAAGGAAAUCAAAACAAGAUAAUCUACACUGCAACUAGGGGAGGCUAUUGAAUGUGAUGGUCCCCUCAGAUGCCUAGAGGAAGAUGAACAAUGGUAAUCAGAUAUCCUAAAGUUAUCUUUAGGGCACUGGCAAAAUAGCAGCAAUGCCUGGUGGAAGCUGACUUUGUGCAUACACAUGAGAGCCCACAGAAAACUUCAAACUUCAUGGAAAUAAAACCUUCAGCUGCAGCUAAGAAUUUGGAGGUUACUGAAGGAGGUUACUUUUUCAAGAGCAGAAGUAAGGAUUCCACUGAAUUUGCUCACCAAAGAUAAGUCAGCAAAGAAAACUUACUGAAGAAUACAGGAACAUAAAUCUUAAGCAGGCUUACAUAAGGAAGGGAAGUGGUUGAAUCUGAGACAGCAUAUCAGCUCCUGCUUUCCAGACAAACUUCCUGGGUCUUGGGAAGAAGAAAGCCUCAGACUAAGAACUCUCUCUGGACUCAGACAGCCUGAAUUCAAAUCCCAUCUCUAUUCUUACUAGUCAUAUGAACACAGAUAGUGAAGAAUGAAAGAGAAGCAAAACAGAUCCUGCAGGUUGUGCUCACCACGGUGAAAAUCAUUAUUUGCAACUCCCACAGGAGAACCAUAUCCAUUCAGCUCACUUUGGACCACCUGUGGAGCCUGAUAACCAGGGAACAGAGAACCUGUUGAGAUCCAAAUUUGUGUGCCAGAUCACAAACUCAUCUGAAGCAGAUGCCACGUGUUACACUGUUAUGUCUCUCAGAGACUCCAGCACUUUGAAAGUAUUAGGCCUUGCUUAUUGAGAUGAAUAUUUUUUUCUAGGCAUGUCCCAAAGUUCUCAGCAUAGCUACAACCCUGAUUUUCACAGGAUUUUCAUUAAAAUUAGGUUCUAGAGCAUUACUUCCCUAAUGUGCAAUGCAACUUACGUUUAGUUUUCAAAUCAAAAUUAGUUUUGUUUUUCCACUGUCUUUGUCUUUGAAAAUAUUGAACUUGGGAUUUCCAAAAUUAUAAUUAGCAAUUAUUUUUACAUAUCUUUUAUAUACAUAACUUUUACAAUGGCUGCCAUUAUCAUGUAGGUUCUUAGGAAGUGUUUCUGAUCCUUGUAAAUAAAAGUGAAAGAAGAAAUCUUUACUGCUUGCUGACCCAUGUGACUAACCUUGAAAUCAGAGAGGCAGAUUCAUUUAAAACAAACUUGCAAACUGUUAAGCAAAGUACUGAAUCUCUGUGACUUGACCAAAAGUAAUUCAGACUUGACUAUUCCAGGCUCCCUUCUAUCUCUGUAGCAACCCAUGCAUCAUAGACUCCAGUUGCAAUGGAUGGUCAAGGAAUCUGCUGUGCCUUUUGAGUCUCUCCAUUUUAUAUUGCCAAAUUUAUCUUCCUUUAAUACUUCACUUCACAUAAGACACUAAGAUAAACAAGGAUGCAACUCACUUAUAUUUCAAAAUAGUACCUAGUGGUUAAAAGUACUUGUUCUGAAAGCAACUCUAUUUUUCUAGUUCUAACAUGUCUCCAACUAGUUAUCUCACCUUGAGCUUGGCACAUAAUCACUCCAUCUUACUUUUGCAUCUGUGACACAAGAAAAAUACCACCCACCUCAACAUAGAUCUUAUGAAGAUUAAAAUAAGAUUAUGAAAGUAAAAUGCUCAGCACAAUGUCUAAACGAAAAUAAAUGCUCAGCAAGUAGGAGCUACUAUAAUUAUUAUCCAGAUCAAAUAUUUUCUCCUCUAUGAAGCUUUCUUAUUCUUCCCCAGCUGGAAUUACUUAUUUUCUUCCUUGCUUUCUACACCACACUUUAGUCACCACCAUGCUGGCACUUGUCUCACCGCAUUAUAAUUAUUUAUGUGCCUGUGUUCCAUAACCAGAAUAUGGGACUUAAGCUUCUUUAUACCUCCAGCAUAAUUGUUUCAUGUGUGCUUUUAGGUAAUGGAGUAAAAUGGAUGAAUGAGUGAAUGCGACUAUAGUACUAAAUGCUCUUAGAUAAAGAUGUAAUUAUUCUUAAGUGAUAAAAUUAUUCGAACAUGAGUAGUUCAGAUAAUGAGAGACUGUCAUAGAAUUACUUGAUAAAAUCUAGUCAAUAAAAUGGCUUGGCAAUAUAACCUUUAUGAUUUCUUUAAACAAUCAUUCAUUUCUUUCUGAAGAUGAGAAGAGGAGAUUCCUUCUCCCAUCUUUAUAUUUCAACAAUGAUUAGAAAACAAAUUGAUCUCUGGGAUCAGUGCCCAAUACCAUUAAAGUGGUAUACAUCUUACAAUUCUUAAUUAAUUUGUGGCAUACAUAUACCAGUCUCCACAGCCAGCUUCAUCUGCAUACAGCAGCAUAAUCACUUUUUUCCUUAUAGUAAAGACAUAUUAUGAGUCAUCAAAGUCUUCUCCGGGGGUUGUGGUUAUCAUCUGGUAAUCACACCCUUGGGAGGUUAAAAACACUUAUCUUUGGAUCAUGACUUGCAAUGCCCCAGGGGUGUGAUUAUCUCAGGCAACUCACACUUUCUGUCAUGCCUAAUUGCUUAAUUAUUAUAGCUGCAAGUUCACACCACCAUACAGGAACUCAUGUUGUGUCAGCAUUUCCACUAUAAAUUCCUUUUUCAAGAGUCUAUAACUCAGCCAUAAAAAAAAAAAAAAAAAAAACCUAUGGUCCAUUGAAGCACUGCAGUAAGAGUCUUAUUCCAGGAAACAUUUCUGUAAUAGGUUAAUUGUAUCUUAAAAAUUGGGUCCUGAUUCUCAUAGUUAGUUCACCAAAGAAAUAAAUGCUAAUUAAAUGUCUCUAAAUUAUAUAUUUUUCUGUAUGGCUGGGUAAAUAAUGUAAAUCCUAAAGACAUAAAUAUUAUUUUUUAAAUAUAACAAGAAUGGCUCAUACAAUUUCCAGUUUUUUGGAAAUACACUUACACAUAUUUAUAAAAUAUUAUAUAAGUAGAAUGAGCUAAACCAUAGUUAGAGAACAUUGUCAUAUGCAAUCAUGUACUACAUAAUAUUUCAGUCAGUGGACAGCAUGUGGCAGUGGUCACAUAAGAUUAUAACGCAGCUGAAAAAUUCCUGUUGUCUAAUGACAUCAUGGCUGUCAUAACUGUCAUGGCCGUCAUGGCCAUCUGAACAUUGUAGUACAAUGUAUUCCUCAUGUGUUUGUGGUGAUGCUGAUGUAAACAAGCAUCUGCACUGCCAGUUGUAUAAAAGUGUAGCACAUACAAUUAUGUACAUACAAUUAUGCACACACAAUUAUGUACAACACAUAAUAUUUUAUAAUGACAAUAAACAAUUUUGUUACCGGUUUAUGUAUUCACUGUACUAUACCUUUCAUCAUUAUUUUAGAGUGUACUCUUUCUACUUAUAUAUAAAAAAAAGUUAAUUGUAAAACAGCCUCUAGCAGGUCCUUCAGGACAUAUUCCAGAAGAAGGCAUUGUUAUCAUAGGAGAUGACGGUUCCAUGCGUGUUAUUGCCCCUGAAGACCUUCCAGUGGGUCAAGAUAUGGAGGUGAAAGACAGUGAUAUUGAUGAUCCUGACCCUGCGUAGGCCAAG
rnacentral:lncRNA from 10 species